rnacentral:tRNA from 1 species
GCGGACGUAGCCCAACCGGCAGAGGCACCUGCGUCAAAUACAGGGCAGUGAGGGUUCGAUCCCCUCCGUCCGCACCA